AAGUCGUAACAAGGUCUCCGUAGGUGAACCUGCGGAGGGAUCAUUACGAAAAAACGAGUUGCAAAAGACUCGAAAACCACCGUGAACCUACCUUCGUCGUUGCUUCGGCGGGCGGAGCCCCUUCCCCCCCUCGAGGGCGGGGGGCGCCGUAGCCCGAAAGGGUGCCCGCCGGAGGAACCCACCAGUAAACCUCUCGUGUCAUCGUGUCUCUCUGAGUCGACUGGCAAAUUCAGUUAAAA
rnacentral:misc_RNA from 1 species